rnacentral:lncRNA from 1 species
CGCUAAUUGUGCCAGCUAACUGUGUUAGGUGUUCGUCCCGCUACAAAGCCGGGAUGCGGACAGCCCCAAGCCCCUUUCCUGCCGGGAGCAGCUCCCUGCCCUUGAUGCUGCGCUCAUCCCAGGGCAGGGAGCCGCUCUGCUUCCCUGGGAUGUGCGGCAACAUCUGGCAGGAGCCGCGACCUGGGCGCAGCCCAAGGCGCCGCACAUCUGGGCGCGAUUUGCUGUGUCACCUCAGGACACGCACGUGGGAAUCACCCCGGGAUCGGCGGGAUCGGGGAGCCGGCCCGGACAGGGCAAUUGGACAGCAUGGAAUGGACAAGAGAUUCCCACAGGGAUGGGAGAACCGUGGAAGGAACUCACGGGAAUCAUUAAAGGGGUUUUGAGCUGCAUUAAAAUAUAAAAUCCAGCAAUAAUUAGAACUGAGAUAACUAAAAUGAAAACCCAGAUCCAGCUUUCUUUUUCCAAGAGUUGUGGCCAAGCCUGGUCCUGGAGUUGCUCCACAAUAAAUCUUCCCAGAUUCCUCCUGGAAUUUCCA